UACGUAUGGGGCAAGCGUUAUCCGGAAUUAUUGGGCGUAAAGAGUGCGUAGGUGGUUACCUAAGCGCAAGGUUUAAUCUUGAGGCUCAACCUCAUUCUGCCUUGCGAACUGGGCUACUUGAGUGCUGGAGGGGAAAGCGGAAUUCCCAGUGUAGCGGUGAAAUGCGUAGAUAUUGGGAAGAACACCGGUGGCGAAGGCGGCUAUCUGGCCAUGUUAUUGACACUGAGGCACGAAAGCAUGGGGAUCAAACAGG
rnacentral:rRNA from 1 species